rnacentral:rRNA from 1 species
UACGUAGGUGGCAAGCGUUGUCCGGAUUUAUUGGGUUUAAAGGGUGCGUAGGCGGCUUUGUAAGUCAGUGGUGAAAUAUGGCAGCUCAACUGUCAAGGUGCCAUUGAUACUGCGGAGCUUGAGUACAGAUGAGGUAGGCGGAAUUGACGGUGUAGCGGUGAAAUGCGUAGAUAUCUGGAGGAACACCGGUGGCGAAGGCGGCAUCCUGGACCAACACUGACACUGAGGAGCGAAAGCCAGGGGAGCAAACGGG